AUUCUUUUUUUUUUAAUUUAAUUAAAUUUUAGAGAUAUGUAAUAAUUUAAAAGAUAAGUAAUAGAAGUAAAUUUGUCCAGUUAGUCGAAAUUCUACAUAUACCGAAAAAAAUUAAAAAAAAAUUUAAAGAAAUGACUAAUGACUCUAGAUCGCGUCUGGAAAGGCAAUUUAAUUAGUACUUUAAAAACUAGUUACUACUGAUAAUGGUAGGUUUAAUUACGGAUGGCGCUAAUGUUUUAACUGGGUGGAGACAUAGUGCUCAGCAACAGCUAGUAGGUGCAACAAUUUUCUCACUUACAUUGUUUGUCACACCGAUUGCAGCUGGCACUGAAAGAUGCAGCCAGCACUUCAAAGGAACUCCAAAUUCUGCAGCUAUUUUGUGAGCAACUCUUCAUUUUUCAUCGAAAUUCUACUGUUAUAUCAGCGGUUUAUUGUAACGCACGCAAAGCUUAUGGUGUAAAAGGCCAAAUGCAGAGUCAUACGAGUUAAUGUACCAGAUGGGUUACGAGUUAAGUACCAGAUGGGUUGCGCAUAUGGUAAAUGCGUUGGAGAAUCUUCUCAAUGGUCUAAAAGCGCAUAUUCAUAGUUAUACCACUAUCUGCUUGGAAAGCGACUACAGCGCAACACAGAAAUCAAAGGCUAAGUUCUUUGCAAAGAAAUUGGUUGAUCAGCACUUAAUGUCGACGGCGAUCUAUAUUCUUGAUGUGUGUAGAGCAAUUACAAUUUUUUCAGAGGCAUUAGUUAGCACAAAAAAAAAAUGUUUCAACGUAUAAAGUUAAGUCUUCGCUCGAGCAAUUUAGAAAGAUUCGAAGAAAAUCCAGACGCUGGUGUUUACUGGAACAAGCGCUCGAUAUAUGGGAUUGUAAAUUUGCAUGAAGUGAUAAAAGUAUGAAAAUCGAGUUUUUAUUACUACAUCCAUGCAAAAGUGCAUUUUGAAACAAUAUUCAAAUGUAUCAGAUGUCUUUGCGGAGGCGGACGAGUUGCUUAACACAGUUGAAUGGAAGAAGAGCGACUUUUUCACGGCUGAAAACAACAAAAAGUUACAUAAAACAUGCUAGACAAUAACAUAAAAGCCUUCAUUGACGACGAUAUGCUUUGCAACAACUCGAAUAUAAACGAGUUGAUGUUGGAAAUAUUUUAUUAGAGUGGAUAAUAUUGAAGAAAAUAAUAGCAACUUGGACAA